rnacentral:rRNA from 1 species
CGCCUGAGGAUGAGCCCGCGGUCCUGAUUAGCUAGUUGGUGAGGUAAGAAGCUCCACCAAGGCAUCGAUCAGUAGCUGGUCUGAGAGGAUGACUCAGCCACACCUGGGACUGAGACACGGACCCAGACUCCUACGGGAGGCAGCAGUGGGGAAUUUUCCGCAAUGGGCGAAAGCCUGACGGAGCAACGCCGCGUGAGGGAUGAAGGCCUCUGGGCUGUAAACCUCUUUUUCUCAAGGAAGAAGAUCUGACGGUACUUGAGGAAUAAGCCACGGCUAAUUCCGUGCCAGCAGCCGCGGUAAUACGGGAGUGGCAAGCGUUAUCCGGAAUUAUUGGGCGUAAAGCGUCCGCAGGCGGCCCUUCAAGUCUGCUGUUAAAACGUGGAGCUUAACUCCAUCAUGGCAGUGGAAACUGUUGGGCUCGAGUGUGGUAGGGGCAGAGGGAAUUCCCGGUGUAGCGGUGAAAUGCGUAGAUAUCGGGAAGAACACCAGUGGCGAAGGCGCUCUGCUGGGCCAUAACUGACGCUCAUGGACGAAAAGCCAGGGGAGCGAAAGGGAUUAGAUACCCCUGUAGUCCUGGCCGUAAACGAUGAACACUAGGUGUCGGGGGAAUCGACCCCCUCGGUGUCGUAGCCAACGCGUUAAGUGUUCCGCCUGGGGAGUACGCACGCAAGUGUGAAACUCAAAGGAAUUGACGGGGGGCCCGCACAAGCGGUGGAGUAUGUGGUUUAAUUCGAUGCAACGCGAAGAACCUUACCAGGGUUUGGACAUCCUUGCGAACUUCUUGGAAA